GCAACAGAUUGCAGUGUGCUCCACAAACUAAGGCUACUGUCAUCAGUUAACGAAAAGAACCUGCAAGAGAGACGAAAAAUGUUUUUUUUAUCAAGGAGUGCAUCUUUAAAACGGUUAUGCAAACAAACUGUGUAACAUUAAAUUGCUCCAAGAUGUUGGGAUAGUUGUUAAAAUUUGGAAAAUACAAUAUAUAGUAUGUAUUAAAUAAAUUUACUGGAAGAUAAGAGUGCAUGGCCUGCGAGACGAGAUAAAUUAUAAAAGAACGGAUAUACAACGGCUGAACAAAGUUACAUGCUAUAGUCAAUAUCCAAUAUCGACGGCUCCGACAAAUGAGUAUUAGAAGAGAAGAAUGUGUGCAUUUCAGACCAAUAUUUCAAAAACUGAAGGACUAGUUCGCGUAUAUACAUACGGGCAUGGCUGAACGAGGUUCAAAAUAAAGAAUGAAUACAUUUUUUAAGCCACAUCUCCUAUUUGUGAGCCUAAUUUUAUUAAUAUUACACUAAAAAAAAAAAUUAA